UAACACGUACUGUGCGAACGUUAUUCGGAAUCACUGGGCUUAAAGGGUGCGUAGGCGGCAAUUCAAGUCAGGUGUGAAAUGCCUGAGCUCAACUGAGGCAUUGCGCUUGAAACUGAACUGCUUGAGUAUCCCAGGGGUGUGCGGAACUGCCAGUGGAGCGGUGAAAUGUGUUGAUAUUGGCAGGAACACCGGAGGCGAAAGCGGCACACUGGGGGAUAACUGACGCUGAGGCACGAAAGCCAGGGGAGCGAACGGGAUUAGAUACCCCGGUAGUCCUGGCCGUAAACGAUGAGCACUGGGCGGGAGGGGGUUUCCCUUUUCUGCCGUAGCGAAAGCGUUAAGUGCUCCGCCUGGGGAGUAUGGUCGCAAGGCUG
rnacentral:rRNA from 1 species